CUACGGGGUGCUGCAGUGAGGAAUUUUGCGCAAUGGGGGGAACCCUGACGCAGCAACGCCGCGUGAGUGAUGAAGGCUUUCGGGUCGUAAAGCUCUGUCAAGUGGGAAGAACCUAUGCAGUGUUAAUAUCACUGUAUACUGACGGUACCACUGAAGGAAGCACCGGCUAACUCCGUGCCAGCAGCCGCGGUAAUACGGGGGGUGCAAGCGUUAUUCGGAAUCAUUGGGCGUAAAGGGCACGUAGGCGGCUUGGUAAGUCAGAUGUGAAAGCCCGGGGCUUAACCCCGGAAGUGCAUUUGAUACUGUCAGGCUUGAGUAUGGGAGGGGGAAGUGGAAUUCCUGGUGUAGAGGUGAAAUUCGUAGAUAUCAGGAGGAACACCGGUGGCGAAGGCGACUUCCUGGACCAAUACUGACGCUGAGGUGCGAAGGCGUGGGUAGCAAACAGGAUUAGAUACCCCUGUAGUC
rnacentral:rRNA from 1 species